rnacentral:rRNA from 2 species
AUUGAUUUUGGUCGCCAACGAGUGGCGGACGGGUGAGUAACACGUAGGUAACCUGCCCAGAAGCGGGGGACAACAUUUGGAAACAGAUGCUAAUACCGCAUAACAGCGUUGUUCGCAUGAACAACGCUUAAAAGAUGGCUUCUCGCUAUCACUUCUGGAUGGACCUGCGGUGCAUUAGCUUGUUGGUGGGGUAACGGCCUACCAAGGCGAUGAUGCAUAGCCGAGUUGAGAGACUGAUCGGCCACAAUGGGACUGAGACACGGCCCAUACUCCUACGGGAGGCAGCAGUAGGGAAUCUUCCACAAUGGGCGCAAGCCUGAUGGAGCAACACCGCGUGAGUGAAGAAGGGUUUCGGCUCGUAAAGCUCUGUUGUUAAAGAAGAACACGUAUGAGAGUAACUGUUCAUACGUUGACGGUAUUUAACCAGAAAGUCACGGCUAACUACGUGCCAGCAGCCGCGGUAAUACGUAGGUGGCAAGCGUUAUCCGGAUUUAUUGGGCGUAAAGAGAGUGCAGGCGGUUUUCUAAGUCUGAUGUGAAAGCCUUCGGCUUAACCGGAGAAGUGCAUCGGAAACUGGAUAACUUGAGUGCAGAAGAGGGUAGUGGAACUCCAUGUGUAGCGGUGGAAUGCGUAGAUAUAUGGAAGAACACCAGUGGCGAAGGCGGCUACCUGGUCUGCAACUGACGCUGAGACUCGAAAGCAUGGGUAGCGAACAGGAUUAGAUACCCUGGUAGUCCAUGCCGUAAACGAUGAGUGCUAGGUGUUGGAGGGUUUCCGCCCUUCAGUGCCGGAGCUAACGCAUUAAGCACUCCGCCUGGGGAGUACGACCGCAAGGUUGAAACUCAAAGGAAUUGACGGGGGCCCGCACAAGCGGUGGAGCAUGUGGUUUAAUUCGAAGCUACGCGAAGAACCUUACCAGGUCUUGACAUCUUGCGCCAACCCUAGAGAUAGGGCGUUUCCUUCGGGAACGCAAUGACAGGUGGUGCAUGGUCGUCGUCAGCUCGUGUCGUGAGAUGUUGGGUUAAGUCCCGCAACGAGCGCAACCCUUGUUACUAGUUGCCAGCAUUAAGUUGGGCACUCUAGUGAGACUGCCGGUGACAAACCGGAGGAAGGUGGGGACGACGUCAGAUCAUCAUGCCCCUUAUGACCUGGGCUACACACGUGCUACAAUGGACGGUACAACGAGUCGCGAACUCGCGAGGGCAAGCAAAUCUCUUAAAACCGUUCUCAGUUCGGACUGCAGGCUGCAACUCGCCUGCACGAAGUCGGAAUCGCUAGUAAUCGCGGAUCAGCAUGCCGCGGUGAAUACGUUCCCGGGCCUUGUACACACCGCCCGUCACACCAUG